AUUGAACGCUGGCGGCAGGCUUAACACAUGCAAGUCGAGCGGAGACUUCGGUCUUAGCGGCGAACGGGUGAGGAAUGCCUGGGAAUCUGCCUGGUAGUGGGGGGAUAACGUUCCGAAAGGAACGCUAAUACCGCAUACGUCCUACGGGAGAAAGCAGGGGACCUUCGGGCCUUGCGCUAUCAGAUGAGCCCAGGUCGGAUUAGCUAGUAGGUGAGGUAAAGGCUCACCUAGGCGACGAUCCGUAGCUGGUCUGAGAGGAUGAUCAGCCACACUGGAACUGAGACACGGUCCAGACUCCUACGGGAGGCAGCAGUGGGAAUAUUGGACAAUGGGCGAAAGCCUGAUCCAGCCAUGCCGCGUGUGUGAAGAAGGCCUCGG
rnacentral:rRNA from 1 species